rnacentral:rRNA from 1 species
UACGGGGGGAGCAAGCGUUUGUUCGGAUUUACUGGGCGUAAAGGGCGCGUAGGCGGUCGUGACAAGUCACUUGUGAAAUCUCCGGGCUUAACUCGGAACGGUCAAGUGAUACUGUCGGACUAGAGUACAGAAGGGGCAACUGGAAUUCCCGGUGUAGCGGUGAAAUGCGCAGAUAUCGGGAGGAACACCAAUGGCGAAGGCAGCUCGCUGGGACGGUACUGACGCUGAGGCGCGAAAGCCAGGGGAGCGAACGGG